GAGUUUGAUUAUGGCUCAGGAUGAACGCUGGCGGCGUGCUUAAUACAUGCAAGUCGAACGAAGUAUUUUUGAAGCUUGCUUUAAAAUGCUUAGUGGCGAACGGGUGAGUAAUACAUAAGCAACCUGCCUAUAAGACUGGGAUAACUAUUGGAAACGAUAGCUAAUACCGGAUAGGUAAAUAGAAGGCAUCUUCUAUUUAUUAAAGUUGGGUUUCCAACACUUAUAGAUGGGCUUAUGGUGUAUUAGCUAGUUGGUGAGGUAACUGCUCACCAAGGCGAUGAUACAUAGCCGGCCUGAGAGGGUGAACGGCCACAUUGGGACUGAGACACGGCCCAAACUCCUACGGGAGGCAGCAGUAAGGAAUUUUCGGCAAUGGGCGAAAGCCUGACCGAGCAACGCCGCGUGAGUGAUGAAGGCCUUCGGGUUGUAAAGCUCUGUUGUAAAGGAAGAACAGAUGAAUUAGGAAAUGAAUUCAUUUGACACC
rnacentral:rRNA from 1 species